GGCGGUGUAGCUCAGCUGGUUAGAGCAUACGGUUCAUAUCCGUAGGGUCGGGAGUUCAAAUCUCUCCACCGCUACCA
rnacentral:tRNA from 2 species